UACGGGAGGCAGCAGUGGGGAAUAUUGCACAAUGGGCGCAAGCCUGAUGCAGCCAUGCCGCGUGUAUGAAGAAGGCCUUCGGGUUGUAAAGUACUUUCAGCAGUGAGGAAGGUGGGUAUGUUAAUAGCAUACUCAUUUGACGUUAGCUGCAGAAGAAGCACCGGCUAACUCCGUGCCAGCAGCCGCGGUAAUACGGAGGGUGCGAGCGUUAAUCGGAAUUACUGGGCGUAAAGCGCAUGCAGGUGGUUUGUUAAGUCAGAUGUGAAAGCCCGGGGCUCAACCUCGGAAUUGCAUUUUGAAACUGGCAAACUAGAGUACUGUAGAGGGGGUAGGAAUUUCAGGUGUAGCGGUGAAAUGCGUAGAGAUCUGAAGGAAUACCGGUGGCGAAGGCGGCCCCCUGGACAGAUACUGACACUCAGAUGCGAAAGCGUGGGGAGCAAACAGGAUUAGAUACCCUGGUAG
rnacentral:rRNA from 1 species